rnacentral:rRNA from 1 species
GACGAACGCUGGCGGCGUGCCUAAUACAUGCAAGUCGAACGCUUCUUUCCUCCCGAGUGCUUGCACUCAAUUGGAAAGAGGAGUGGCGGACGGGCGAGUAACACGUGGGUAACCUACCCAUCAGAGGGGGAUAACACUUGGAAACAGGUGCUAAUACCGCAUAACAGUUUAUGCCGCAUGGCAUAAGAGUGAAAGGCGCUUUCGGGUGUCGUUGAUGGAUGGACCCGCGGUGCAUUAGCUAGUUGGUGAGGUAACGGCUCACCAAGGCCACGAUGCAUAGCCGACCUGAGAGGGUGAUCGGCCACACUGGGACUGAGACACGGCCCAGACUCCUACGGGAGGCAGCAGUAGGGAAUCUUCGGCAAUGGACGAAAGUCUGACCGAGCAACGCCGCGUGAGUGAAGAAGGUUUUCGGAUCGUAAAACUCUGUUGUUAGAGAAGAACAAGGACGUUAGUAACUGAACGUCCCCUGACGGUAUCUAACCAGAAAGCCACGGCUAACUACGUG